GGCGCUAUAGUGUAGUGGUUAUCACUUGGGAUUCUGAUGUCCGCAUUCGUGUUCCCAAAACCCAGGUUCGAGCCCUGGUAGCGCCU
rnacentral:tRNA from 1 species